GGAUUAUGGCUCAGAACGAACGCUGGCGGCAGGCUUAACACAUGCAAGUCGAACGCCCCGCAAGGGGAGUGGCAGACGGGUGAGUAACGCGUGGGAAUCUACCGUGCCCUGCGGAAUAGCUCCGGGAAACUGGAAUUAAUACCGCAUACGCCCUACGGGGGAAAGAUUUAUCGGGGUAUGAUGAGCCCGCGUUGGAUUAGCUAGUUGGUGGGGUAAAGGCCUACCAAGGCGACGAUCCAUAGCUGGUCUGAGAGGAUGAUCAGCCACAUUGGGACUGAGACACGGCCCAAACUCCUACGGGAGGCAGCAGUGGGGAAUAUUGGACAAUGGGCGCAAGCCUGAUCCAGCCAUGCCGCGUGAGUGAUGAAGGCCUUAGGGUUGUAAAGCUCUUUCACCGGAGAAGAUAAUGACGGUAUCCGGAGAAGAAGCCCCGGCUAACUUCGUGCCAGCAGCCGCGGUAAUACGAAGGGGGCUAGCGUUGUUCGGAAUUACUGGGCGUAAAGCGCACGUAGGCGGAUAUUUAAGUCAGGGGUGAAAUCCCAGAGCUCAACUCUGGAACUGCCUUUGAUACUGGGUAUCUUGAGUAUGGAAGAGGUAAGUGGAAUUCCGAGUGUAGAGGUGAAAUUCGUAGAUAUUCGGAGGAACACCAGUGGCGAAGGCGGCUUACUGGUCCAUUACUGACGCUGAGGUGCGAAAAGCCGUUGGGG
rnacentral:rRNA from 1 species